rnacentral:rRNA from 1 species
AGAGUUUGAUCAUGGCUCAGAUUGAACGCUGGCGGCAGGCCUAACACAUGCAAGUCGAACGGUAACAGGAAGAAGCUUGCUUCUUUGCUGACGAGUGGCGGACGGGUGAGUAAUGUCUGGGAAACUGCCUGAUGGAGGGGGAUAACUACUGGAAACGGUAGCUAAUACCGCAUAACGUCGCAAGACCAAAGAGGGGGACCUUCGGGCCUCUUGCCAUCGGAUGUGCCCAGAUGGGAUUAGCUAGUAGGUGGGGUAACGGCUCACCUAGGCGACGAUCCCUAGCUGGUCUGAGAGGAUGACCAGCCACACUGGAACUGAGACACGGUCCAGACUCCUACGGGAGGCAGCAGUGGGGAAUAUUGCACAAUGGGCGCAAGCCUGAUGCAGCCAUGCCGCGUGUAUGAAGAAGGCCUUCGGGUUGUAAAGUACUUUCAGCGGGGAGGAAGGGAGUAAAGUUAAUACCUUUGCUCAUUGACGUUACCCGCAGAAGAAGCACCGGCUAACUCCGUGCCAGCAGCCGCGGUAAUACGGAGGGUGCAAGCGUUAAUCGGAAUUACUGGGCGUAAAGCGCACGCAGGUGGUUUGUUAAGUCAGAUGUGAAAUCCCCGGGCUCAACCUGGGGACUGCAUCUGAUACUGGCAAGCUUGAGUCUCGUAGAGGGGGGUAGAAUUCCAGGUGUAGCGGUGAAAUGCGUAGAGAUCUGGAGGAAUACCGGUGGCGAAGGCGGCCCCCUGGACGAAGACUGACGCUCAGGUGCGAAAGCGUGGGGAGCAAACAGGAUUAGAUACCCUGGUAGUCCACGCCGUAAACGAUGUCGACUUGGAGGUUGUGCCCUUGAGGCGUGGCCUCCGGAGCUAACGCGUUAAGUCGACCGCCUGGGGAGUACGGCCGCAAGGUUAAAACUCAAAUGAAUUGACGGGGGCCCGCACAAGCGGUGGAGCAUGUGGUUUAAUUCGAUGCAACGCGAAGAACCUUACCUGGUCUUGACAUCCACGGAAGUUUUCAGAGAUGAGAAUGUGCCUUCGGGAACCGUGAGACAGGUGCUGCAUGGCUGUCGUCAGCUCGUGUUGUGAAAUGUUGGGUUAAGUCCCGCAACGAGCGCAACCCUUAUCCUUUGUUGCCAGCGGUCCGGCCGGGAACUCAAAGGAGACUGCCAGUGAUAAACUGGAGGAAGGUGGGGAUGACGUCAAGUCAUCUUGGCCCUUACGACCAGGGCUACACACGUGCUACAAUGGCGCAUACAAAGAGAAGCGACCUCGCGAGAGCAAGCGGACCUCAUAAAGUGCGUCGUAGUCCGGAUUGGAGUCUGCAACUCGACUCCAUGAAGUCGGAAUCGCUAGUAAUCGUGGAUCAGAAUGCCACGGUGAAUACGUUCCCGGGCCUUGUACACACCGCCCGUCACACCAUGGGAGUGGGUUGCAAAAGAAGUAGGUAGCUUAACCUUCGGGAGGGCGCUUACCACUUUGUGAUUCAUGACUGGGGUGAAGUCGUAACAAGGUA